rnacentral:lncRNA from 1 species
AUUGACUUUGCGUUGCAAAUAUUUUCCAUUGGAGUAUUCAGAGUCACGGUGUGAACAAGCAUGGAGUUUUGACGGAACGGGACAUGGAGACAUGUUUGCUAGCAAGGCGGCUGCCUUGCACAUGAACACACACAUUAACACUUGCACAUUUUCCUCCGAUGCUUGCCAGCAAAUAUGUCUCCAUGUCCCGUUUUCUUUUUGUAAGGACGCCCUCACUAUUAGCCGCUCUCUCUAGUUGCGCUUCUG